AGGAUGAACGCUGGCGGCGUGCUUAACACAUGCAAGUCGAACGAUGAAGCAGAGCUUGCUCUGUGGAUUAGUGGCGAACGGGUGAGUAACACGUGAGUAACCUGCCCUUGACUCUGGAAUAAGCGUUGGAAACGACGUCUAAUACCGGAUACGAGCUUCCGCCGCAUGGUGAGGAGCUGGAAAGAAUUUCGGUCAAGGAUGGACUCGCGGCCUAUCAGGUAGUUGGUGAGGUAAUGGCUCACCAAGCCUACGACGGGUAGCCGGCCUGAGAGGGUGACCGGCCACGACUGGAACUGAGACACGGUCCAGACUCCUACGGGAGGCAGCAGUGGGAAUAUGCACAAUGGGCGCAAGCCUGAUGCAGCAACGCCGCGUGAGGACGACGGCCUUCGGUUGUAAACCGUCUUUUAGUACGGAAGAAGGCGUUACGGUCGUCGACGGUACCUGCGAAGAAAAAGCACCGGCUAACUACGU
rnacentral:rRNA from 1 species